UGGGAUUAUUCACUGCUAAUUCCUGGCACUGGCGAUACGAUGGGAAAAGGAGCUCGGGACAUGAACAAAGAUCUCUCUGGACUGAAACAGGAGAGGGCAGUCCCUGGGCAGGGAGAAUCAGAGCAGCAUUACUCACUUGGAGCAGUGUCAGUGUGAUCGGGUUAAAUGUGAAGUGACUGGACUCAGUGUCAGGGAAAGGGGAGGAGGUUCAGGUAUGGCUCCCUAUCACAGUGUCUAUAUAUAACUGGGUGGCACAGUGAGAGAGAUGGGGGCUCUCCCCAUUCAAAAACCUGUCACUGGAAAUCUAUUUAAACUGCUCUCUCCGGGUGCUAUCACUGGCUUUACUUCCUGAGCUGUGGAUAUAAAUCAGAUCCAAUUCAAUAAUCUGGGUGUGGGAACAACUUUCUGUGAAGAUAUCAUUUGAAAGAUGGAAGGAGCAGUGAGGAACAGAGAGAGGAUGAUGGAGAAUGAAAACUCCUUGUGGAUUCCCCAAGUUCCCAUACGGCCCUGAAAACCCCCGGCAUUGACUCCUGGAGUGUGGGAGACACUUGGAUACAGACUGGGGAGUUCAUGAAGCUACCGCCCACUUGUUUGGGACAUUUGAUUUUGGGUUGGAUCCUGUAGCUGUGGUUUCUGAGCCCGGCUGAAACACUGUGAUGGAUAUACUACCACAGCAGCACAAAGCCUGACACAAACUGUCCCGCUCCUAAUGACUGUGUGUAUCCAUGGAUUUCACAUUCCUGUUUCCCAGAGUGAAAUAUCUAAACACUGACUGGGAUUGUCAGGGAAAAUGUCGAUUCCUGGGAGAAAACAAGACAAAAAAGAGGCGAUUCUUUUUAUGGAUAACUUGCAGGAGCUGGUGUACCACAGACAGGAAAACUGUAAAAACACCUCAUUUACAGAUACAUUUGAGACAGGAUUAGGAUGGAAUUUCAGAUGAAAAUACAGGAAGUUGCUGCUCCGGGUUAAAACACAGUUUAUGUUUAAUUCCCUGGGGAUUAUUAUAUAUCGAGCUUCGGGUCAGUUAUUGUAUUGGGUGAAUGAAGAGACAGAGCACAGUGCUCAGGUACUGGGGGAGCGGGACCUUCCUGGAAGUGACUUCAGAUGUCCAGAUCAAACCUUCAGUUUAUGCUUCCAGUACUUACUGUGAGACAAGCUCCAACCAAGAUGAGAUCAGCCUCCUCUGUCUAGUCAAGGAUUUUCAGCCCAAGAGCAUCGAUCAGACAUGGUCCAGUGACAAUGGAAUGAUCACAACUGGAGUCAUGAACUAUCCAGCAGUCUUGGGGCAAAAUAUGACGUACACAAUGAGCAGUGUGAUCAAAGUCUCUGCAAGAGAUUGGAAUGCCAACAAGGUCUACCAUUGCAAAGCGGGUUACAAGUCAAAUGAAAUGGUGACAGCCGAGCUCAAAAAGCCUACACCUCCCCACGUCUUCUCUGUUGUUCCAUCUCCGGAGGUUGUCUACAAUCAAACUACUGCUGCCCUGGGGUGCAUGCUAUCUGGAUUCUAUCCUGACAGUGUACAGGUUUCCUGGUUUAAAGCUGGAGUGCUCCAGUCAGGUACCAAACUCCCUUCCAAAAAGGGAAAAGGCAAUAUGUUUGAAACAGUCUCUUAUCUGACUGUCCAGGUGGCAGAUUGGAAGAAAGGGGAUAACUACACUUGUGAAGUGACCCAUGAGGCUACAAGCUUCAAUAUCAGGAUCAACAUGUCGUACCAAAAGGAAAUGUCUAUUUUUAUCCGAAAUCCUUCUAUUGUGGAGAUUUGGAUCAAUAAGACUGCUACUGUGGAGUGCACAGUGGUCUGUUCUGAUCCAAGCCAGGUUCAGAUCUCCUGGGAAGUGAGUGGUAAGAAGAGACAUGAAGUGAUUAAGACUCAGCGGCUAAUACAAGAAGGAAGCUUACCCACGGUCAUCAGUCAACUCCAAACCAGUGUUGAGGAGUGGGAGAGUGGGGUCGAUUUUGUGUGCUCUGCCCAAAGUGCUUCCUCAUCCUCACUGAUGUCAAAGAAAAUACGUGGAGUAAAAGUUGAGCCAAAAAGUCCCAAGGUCAGACUGCUGCUUGUACCACCGCAAGACAGCAAGGAUAAAAACACAAUCACAUUUGUGUGUGUGAUCACCGAGUUCUACCCGGACCUCGUAAACGUCUCCUGGGAGAAAGACGGCACUCUGAUCUCCUCCAACACCAGCGCUGGACUGACUGCUCUAGAACAGGCACUGACAUUUCGUGUCAGGCAUUACCUGACUGUGAGUGCAGAGGAGUGGAGGAAAGGCUCAGUUGUUGUCUGUACAGUGUUUCAUCCCUCCUCCAAUUCCACCAUCAGUGCCAGACUGAAGAACAUCGAAGAUGAAUGUUUGGAUUCCAGAAUCUCGGUCACCAUAAGCAAGCCUCCAUUUGAAGAGAUCUGGAGGAACAGAACAGCAACCAUUCUUUGUGAAGUACUUCACACUGAUUUAGAGGGAGUCAGGGUAACCUGGAAAGUCGAUGGAAUCAUGAGACAAGAUGGAGUGAAGACCCAGGGUCCCAAGAAGGAUGGACAUAAAGAGAUCAUCUUCAGUAGACUUACAGUCCCUGCUACAGAGUGGGAGAGUGGGGUAGAGUGUAUGUGUUUGGUGGAGGACAGAAGUUUACCAACGCCAGAGAAGAGGUCAAUCAGGAAAGCCCAAGUUGAUGUUAAGACUCACCCUCAAGUCUUUCUCCUGCUCCCUUCACCGGAUGAGAUGGAGACUGCUCACACUACAACCCUGGUUUGCCUGGUCACUGGAUUCUCUCCCGCAGAGAUCGACCUGGUUUGGAUGGCCAAUGAUACCCUUCUGAAGACAGGGUUCAUGCACCAGCCAGUGACCGAGGACGGCAGAGGUGGCUGGAAUUCAGGCAGUCACUUGACGGUCUCUGCAGAGGAGUGGAACAGCGGCACCACGUACUCCUGUGUGGUGGGACACGAGUCAGUUACAACAAAUGUGUUCAGAAGCAUUAAUAAAUCUCACAGUAAAGCCAACCUGGUUAAUGUCUCACUUGUUCUAACUGAUAGCUAUAACUCCUGUUCAUAACAUCUGCUGAUUUAUACAAUCAUCCAUUUAUAUAAUCCCUGUAAAUGGAUGGUUAACACAACCAGAAAACCGUUGUGAGCACUUUGAAACCUCUCUUCUGGUAGCAAUGUGCUUCAAACAUGAACAAAU